AAAUCUGCCAACUUCAGCUGUCAAGCGUAUGAUAUUGAAAUGUAUUUUCAUGUGCUUUUGACCAUGAGGCCUUAUCACAGAAUAAACUUGUCACUCACUUUUGUGGGCAACCAUCCA